UGGCUCUCGCAUCGAUGAAGAACGCAGCGAAAUGCGAUAAGUAAUGUGAAUUGCAGAAUUCAGUGAAUCAUCGAAUCUUUGAACGCACCUUGCGCUCCUUGGUAUUCCGAGGAGCAUGCCUGUUUGAGUGUCAUGAAAACCCUCAACCUUAGAUUGGUUAUUUGACCUUUCUUUGGCUUGGAUUUGGACGUUUGCCGAUGUCAAGUCGGCUCGUCUUAAAAGUAAUAGCUGGAUCUGUCUCGCGACAUGGUUUGACUUGGCGUAAUAAGUAUUUCGCUAAGGACAUCUUCGGAUGGCCCUGUUGCAGGGCUAAAGACCGCUUUCUGAUCCAUUGAUCUUCGGAUUAAUAUUCAUAACAUCUGGCCUCAAAUCAGGUAGGACUACCCGCUGA
rnacentral:misc_RNA from 1 species